UGUCAUGUUUGAUUUGUAGAAUCUGGAGCUUGUUCUGAUUUCUUUUUUUGUGCGAUAGUGUCUUUUUGUUGGGUAUUUUUUGCAAAUAAUUUCUUUGAGUUCUUUGAAUAGUUCCUUUAAUAUUUUCACCACGUGAUUCAGUGGCUGCCCCAGCAUCUAACAUUAAGACUGCUAUCUGUGGACUGAGGACCUGAGGACUUUUUUGAAGGAGACCCUGCAGCUCCAUGUGAAUGCUGGAAAAUGGCCUCUGUUGAAGAUCUCUGAAGGAGAGCGGGAAAGCAGGGCGUGUUCUACAGCGUAAGGAACCAUGCGGCUGUCCAUCUGGUUAGGAUUGAGAAUCUGUGGCAUUGUCCGCGACCUGGAGGCACUGCAGAGGAUGUCCCGAAUCAGAGUCUGAGGCUUUGAUGUUGAGGCGCUCCAGAGAGCGGCUGGAACAAAGGGUGGCACUGCCGAGGAGUCAUGAAAGAGUCUGAGCAGGUGUGGCCGCACACCUGUGAGAGACCAAGGCCCGAAUCACACAGCGUGUGGCUCAACAGCUCCUACUGAGAGCAUGAAGGGCCCCCUGCACCAUUCCAGCUAACGGGACGUUUGAAGAACAUUCCGGUUAGAUUUUGAUUCUGUUCUGAGAUGACAUCAAAAAGUCUUGAGAACGUUUACCCAAACCUUCCUGGAAUGUUUUGGGAGAAUAAAAUUGUAUGUUGGGAUGGCACUGCUUACAAUUUAAGCACUAAUCCAGAAAAAUAAACAGAAUGCCCCCAUACGCAAGAGGCAAACAACCCAUAUAAGGUUGAACAAGUCAACCUUCAGUUUACUGAUUGGCAGUGCUACUCAUGAUUUGCUGUGCUAGUAGCAAGCUAUACAGUCAGACCAUGAAAAAAUUCUUCCUUAUCAUCUACCAAAGUCAAAUCAUACCAGUUACAUUAGCACACUGGACCAAACCCUCAAUGCAUAAUCAGGGUCUCCCUGGCCAUAGCCUUUAAGCUGCUUUCUGAGCAAAGCUAAUGGGGAUGAAGGCCACUGUUACCCCAGGCAGUGUGGCUGGAAGCCUGCCCUUCUAUGCAGAGGGAAAGCUCUGAUCCUUUUGGCCCAGACUAGGACAGAGCCCUGGGGAAGCCUGCUGGCCUAACUCCGUUCUGCCACAUAGUUCUGUCCCCCGCUUAAAAAACUGUGCCAGCCAAUCAGGAACGUCGACAAAGCAGCUCAGCAUCAUCAGACAGUGCCCAGAUAUACUUCUGAAAAUGUGCAGAUUUGAGGAAAAGCGUCAUGCAGGGAUUAUCAUAGCUGAUGCUCAAAAAUUUGUGUGGGUUUUUUUUUCCGCCAAAUCGAAGAACAAACAAUCUGAAAUUCUGAAAAAUUACGUAGAGAGUUAUAGCCCUCAGAACGAACCGCUCCUUCCAGAAAAUAUAUCCCUGCUCCUCGGCUGUGGAAGCAGCCAUCUGUUUCUGCCCACGCGUUUGGUGACCUCAACAUAGACGGCUACACCCAAAAGCUCAGCAGUCUCACCAGGCCUGUCCAAAGCACAGGGACAAAAUGCA